AGCUCCAAUAGCGUAUAUUAAAGUUGUUGCGGUUAAAAAGCUCGUAGUUGGAUUUCUGUCGAGGACAACUGGUCCGCCCUCUGGGUGAGUAUCUAGUUUGGCUUUGGCAUCCUCUUGGAGAACGUAGCUGUACUUGACUGUAUGGUGCGGUAUCCAGGACUUUUACUUGAGGAAAUUAGAGUGUUUCAAGCAGGCACACGCCUUGAAUACAUUAGCAUGGAAUAAUAAGAUAGGACCUCGGUUCUAUU
rnacentral:rRNA from 1 species